GAUGAACGCUGGCGGCGUGCCUAAUACAUGCAAGUCGAGCGAACAGACGAGGAGCUUGCUCCUCUGACGUUAGCGGCGGACGGGUGAGUAACACGUGGAUAACCUACCUAUAAGACUGGGAUAACUUCGGGAAACCGGAGCUAAUACCGGAUAAUAUAUUGAACCGCAUGGUUCAAUAGUGAAAGACGGUUUUGCUGUCACUUAUAGAUGGAUCCGCGCCGCAUUAGCUAGUUGGUAAGGUAACGGCUUACCAAGGCAACGAUGCGUAGCCGACCUGAGAGGGUGAUCGGCCACACUGGAACUGAGACACGGUCCAGACUCCUACGGGAGGCAGCAGUAGGGAAUCUUCCGCAGUGGGCGAAAGCUUGACGGAGCAACGCCGCGUGAGUGAUGAAGGGCUUCGGAUCGUAAAACUCUGUUAUUAGGGAAGAACAAAUGUGUAAGUAACUAUGCACGUCUUGACGGUACCUAAUCAGAAAGCCACGGCUAACUACGU
rnacentral:rRNA from 1 species